AUUAAAUUACAAGAACUUUAUUCAGAUUAAUUUUAUUAGCAGAACUCAGAUAAUUUAGCACUUUGAAUAGAAAAGAAGGUUUAUACAAGUCAUGAUAUAUGUGACUUAGUGAACCUCCUAUUGGAUUUCUUGUAUUUCUCUCUAGUGCUCCAAUGCACACCAUAAAAAAAGAUCAACCUGUUCCCCAGAGAGUUUUCAGAGAGAGGUCUGUUUCUAGCUACCAUAUCUGUGCCCUGCUACAGAAUACAGGUCAGGGAAAAGGAUGUGGUGAUAUUGGCUUCCCGAAGAGAAGAGAACCCCUGUCACAAGACAUUCACAGGGACGCAGGCAAUGCUCAUUCCACUACUACCUGGAGACACUUGCUAUGAAGACAAAAAAAUCAAGAUUGCAAGGAAAGCUGACAUUUAAGCUCCCCAUGAUUUUGCUUGGUGCCUAUAUCUGAGAGGGAGGAUAACUCCUCAGCUGAUGCCCUGAGUAGCUGAAGGGAUAAAUAUAACAAAUAAGGAAUUUGUGUGAUCCCUACAGUAGUAGAGAAAAGGUUUCCGUCAGCUGAAGAAUUCAACAAGUCAAUAGAUUUACAAGAGGCAACUGAGUCAAGAACCUCUGUUAAGGAGCUAGGAAGAGAUUUAGCUGAGAAGGGGUAUGAGCCUUGAGCCAGGAAUAUGUAAAACAAAUAAAAUACAAAAAUGGCUAGAAGUUCA
rnacentral:lncRNA from 1 species